GACGAACGCUGGCGGCGUGCUUAACACAUGCAAGUCGAACGGAAAGGCCCUGCUUUUGUGGGGUGCUCGAGUGGCGAACGGGUGAGUAACACGUGAGUAACCUGCCCUUGACUUUGGGAUAACUUCAGGAAACUGGGGCUAAUACCGGAUAGGAGCUCCUGCUGCAUGGUGGGGGUUGGAAAGUUUCCGCGGUUGGGGAUGGACUCGCGGCUUAUCAGCUUGUUGGUGGGGUAGUGGCAUACCAAGGCUUUGACGGGUAGCCGGCCUGAGAGGGUGACCGGCCACAUUGGGACUGAGAUACGGCCCAGACUCCUACGGGAGGCAGCAGUGGGGAAUAUUGCACAAUGGGCGGAAGCCUGAUGCAGCAACGCCGCGUGCGGGAUGACGGCCUUCGGGUUGUAAACCGCUUUCGCCUGUGACGAAGCGUGAGUGACGGUAAUGGGUAAAGAAGCACCGGCUAACUACGUG
rnacentral:rRNA from 1 species